UGUUCACUGGUCAGUAGGUGACAGGUGAACGGGACUGUAUUCACUCACCCGUUUUUCGUUAUAGGAAAAGUUCCCGAUGCCUUUUUUACGUCCUACCCGUCCGCAUAAAUUGGUUGUUUUGCCCUUAAAGUUGUUUUGUGCUUGAUGCACCGCCUCCGAUGGAUACAGUCGAUUAGGGGAAACUAUUACUGACAGUAGCCGCUCUUUAUCUCUUAUUCGCUCUUCCCCGACUGCUAUCAAGCUCUCUCUUCACCAUCUGUAUUCAAUCUUGCACUGAAUCUUGAAUCGUUUCCUUCUCGGUCUCAGGUUUAGUUUUGCCUGGCUUUAGACACUAUUACAGUUGCUCUUGCUUUGAUCGAAAUCCAAACUGAGAUUCUCCAAAUCUCUGAUUCAGAUUCGGUCGUCACUGUGGAAGAAGGUUGAAGCUUUUAUUGGCUCUAAAACGUUUAUCUAGAUACGGUAGGAGGACUCAGCUUAUAGCUUUUAUGAGGUUAUCAGUUCGGAGAAGAAGAAAGAUAAAAAGACGUGCCGUCUUCCUCACCGAACACCACGGCGAUCCCCAGCAGUUCAUCCAAAGUGACGACGGCCUCUACCAAGCCACCGAGGACCAGCAAGGCCAAGGAUUCCUUGGAAUGGGAAACACGAUGUGUAGAUUGACAAGUGAAAUUCACAAUGCUUUAGACUGCUAUUGUUUUUGUGGAUUCUAGCUCAGUUUAUAAUACCAAGAUUGGAGACUGAGUUUUCAUGUGUAGUGAGACAUAGAUUUGAUGGCCAUGUGAUUCUUAAUAGUGUGUAAUGGUUUCCGCAUCGAAGGAAAAGGUACAAAUUUGUUAUAUCAAAUUGGCUGCUUCAUAAGUCUACAUGUUAGUUUCAGAGCUCCUUAUUGAUCGCCGAAGCUUUCAUCCCAAAACCACAAACCAAGGCGCCGCCUUUGUACUCACUGCCAAACUUAUCUAUGAAUAUUUAAGCUGAUGUUGCUGGGAAAAUUUAUGUUUUCAAGGAAAAGCUCCCACUGUGGACAAAGGUUGCAAAUACGUAGAGAAAUUUUGUGCCUGAGAGUUAAAUGCUUAGUGCUCAAUGAGUUGCAGUUUGCUUGCUGCUACCAGAUUUUCUUUCUUUUGAUCAUUCUGUGAUUCGUAACCUAUACUUUACAAGUUAUUAUGCAGUGUGAAUAUGUGAGUGUUGUUACAAUACAUCAGAUCAGAAAUUUCAAAGUUGCAUG